AUUUGGCAGAUUCCAAAUCAAAACUACUAACUUGCACCUCACCAGAUAUUAGCGAUUUUACAAGAUCGCGACUUGAAGCCCAUGCUUUAUAGACAUCAGGGGAGGUGUUAAUACAAUAAUAAAGCACACCACCAUCCACAUCAAUUGACAUAUUAAAUCCGUAAGCAAGGCCAGAACCACGAAUGGUAUUCCAAAAAGGGCCAUCCAUCAACCCUAGAUAAUUUGCAAUCAAGACGAUAACUGGAAGUGACGGAUCAAGCCAGCUGGUAAUACCUGGAAUAGAAAAUACCAAAUCACUACUCUCGUUUGACGGCAUCGGAAUAACGGUAAGGGAACUGCUACUUCCAAAUUCUUGAGGCUUUAAAUAGUUCUUAGAGAAAGUCGAAAGAAACUCCAUAUUUGGAUUCCGGUGGCAUUCGCUAUCAAGUAACUUAUUCCAUGUACUUAUUGGCUGAGGUAAUUUUAAAAUGUCACCAAUUACAUGAAUACGAAUGGCUUGAUGCUGUAACAUGUAAUUUCUCAUUUUUUGAAAGGCAUCAAAAAUUGAUGAAUGAUCAUUCUGUAACUUAUCCCGUAAUUCGCGAAGAAUUUUCUCUUGACUUAAGGUAUUUAGGCUGUACUUCAAUGAGCAAUCAUUGUAUAGACGGAUAUCGAAAUAUGAUGGUAAUAUAAAUUCUGCGUCACGUUUUUGAAAAGGAAUGUCGGCCAGUUGCUGAUUUAUUACUGAUAACAUUCUUUCUCUAUCCCAUACCGUUUUGGCUAAUAAAUUUCGUAUCCAAUAAACUCCUUUUUCGUAAUUUUCACGAGUGACCUUUAUUUCUAUAGAAAGCAGUUCACGUUUAGUUUCAUAAUAAGCGUAACCACAAGAUGAUGUGUCAAAACUAAGCGAAACAUUGAGUGAUACAGUGUCACGCUCAAGUUGCUUGACGACUUCGUGAUAGGGUGUAGGUAUGGUACCUGAGAGCAAGGCCGGAGCAGCUUCUAUAUAUUUAGCAAAUACAGAAAGAUAUGGUUUCAAACUUGAAGGAAUCAUAGAGGUGUCGAUAUACGUUGCAAGUUGGACAAAGGAACUAUCAAUAUGAUCGAACUGGAUGAAAGGGUUUUCUGAAGAAACAUCAGUGUCUAUAUAAGUUUGGACUUCAUUGUCAAAAGGUUGACCUGCGGAACGAGUCCUAGCAGUCGUAGAUGAGUAAAACCGAAUACUCUCUGGAUCACUUAUCCUGAAGCUUGAAAUUAAGUUAACAGAAAGCUUUUGUUCAUUCUUUUCUUUUGAUUUCUUCAGUUUUUCGGCUAAUUUUUCCAAUCCAGACGCCCCCAGCAGACAUCUCCGUUUAUUAAGCUGCUCCGCAUUCUCUUUCUUGAUGUUUUCAGCCAUUUCGAAAGAG